rnacentral:rRNA from 1 species
UACGUAGGGUGCAAGCGUUGUCCGGAAUUAUUGGGCGUAAAGAGCCUCGUAGGCGGUUUGUCGCGUCUGCUGUGAAAACUCGGGGCUUAACCCCGGGCCUGCAGUGGGUACGGGCAGACUAGAGUGCGGUAGGGGAGACUGGAAUUCCUGGUGUAGUGGUGGAAUGCGUAGAUAUCGGGAGGAACACCAGUGGCGAAGGCGGUUGCCUGGGGCUUUGCUGACGCUGAUGCGCGAAAGCGUGGGGAGCGAUCCGG